UACAACAAUUUUAGUGAUCGCAGGCGAACAGAUUAAAGUUGGUAUUUAGCCUAAAAAAAUAAUAAUCACAAUUACUUUAACUCGAAGUGUACCGUUUUUUUCGCGUUCUUCAUUUUAUGCUGUAUUAACCAGGCAAUCGUUCCACCUUUUCAAGCGUGGAAUUUCCUUUCACUCAGAGCAAAUAAAACAAAAAUUUACAAAAGUGUGCCCGCUAAAGUUUGAAGCGUAAAAAAUUUCACAAAUCACUCAUAAGUCAAAUUUCAAAUACAAGAUAGAACUUCGAAAUUGAUGCGUGCAACACCAACAACAACGCCAUACUCGUAAUAUCGCUCCUUGCCAGCAUAAGUGCAAAUGACAGGCAAACGUUUUGCGUGAGCAGCAAAAACCGUAUUUGAAAGCAAAGUCAUUGGAAGAAAUAUAAUACAUAUGUAUAUACAACUGUACAUACUCGUAUAUACAAUAGAAAUUUGUGUGCGUUUGUUUCUGUUAGUUUGCAAGAGCAGAAAAGCGUUAAAAAUUGCUGUCAUAAAUUAAUGAGAAUGUGCGCAAGCCGUCAAACAAAUAAAGACAUCGUGCGCACACGCACGCAUUCAUACAUACUCGUACAUACAUACAAUACUAAUGCACUUGCAAACGAGCUAACCAACAAAAACAAACACACAAACAAACAAACAGAAAAACAAUAAAAGCAGCCAAUACGAGAGAUAUAAAUGAAAAUGCCACCGCAGCGGCUGAAGUAAUUUCCGUGGCCUCGCCGUAACCCCUCAAUUCACCGCUCUUCUCAUCACACUGGCAAUUGAAAUUGUUUUGCUGUCAUAGGACAUCAAUCGCUCAUAACGCGUUUGCCGUUUGCAGAAAGUGCAUCGUUUCACAUGCAAAUGUUUGUUUCCUCACAGCACGUGUGCGUUACUAUUUUUUACUUUAAACUCGUUUUGCUCAAAAUCGCAUUUUUCAAACUGGGAGAACGAAUUAUUCGGACUCUAUUGCAUUGAUUUAUCUGAAAUUUUUAUGGUCUCAUCGUUUAGAAAAAAUCGGCCCUCCCGUGGAUGCCUUUCAAAAAACAUGUAUUAAAUAAAGGAAUUUAUC
rnacentral:lncRNA from 1 species